rnacentral:rRNA from 1 species
GCGACCGGCGCACGGGUGAGUAACACGUAUCCAACCUGCCCUUUACUCGGGGAUAGCCUUUCGAAAGAAAGAUUAAUACCCGAUAGCAUAAUGAUUCCGCAUGGUUUCAUUAUUAAAGGAUUCCGGUAAAGGAUGGGGAUGCGUUCCAUUAGGUUGUUGGUGAGGUAACGGCUCACCAAGCCUUCGAUGGAUAGGGGUUCUGAGAGGAAGGUCCCCCACAUUGGAACUGAGACACGGUCCAAACUCCUACGGGAGGCAGCAGUGAGGAAUAUUGGUCAAUGGGCGCUAGCCUGAACCAGCCAAGUAGCGUGAAGGAUGAAGGCUCUAUGGGUCGUAAACUUCUUUUAUAUAAGAAUAAAGUGCAGUAUGUAUACUGUUUUGUAUGUAUUAUAUGAAUAAGGAUCGGCUAACUCCGUGCCAGCAGCCGCGGUAAUACGGAGGAUCCGAGCGUUAUCCGGAUUUAUUGGGUUUAAAGGGAGCGUAGGUGGACUGGUAAGUCAGUUGUGAAAGUUUGCGGCUCAACCGUAAAAUUGCAGUUGAUACUGUCAGUCUUGAGUACAGUAGAGGUGGGCGGAAUUCGUGGUGUAGCGGUGAAAUGCUUAGAUAUCACGAAG